UACGUAGGGUGCAAGCGUUAAUCGGAAUUACUGGGCGUAAAGCGUGCGCAGGCGGUUAUGCAAGACAGAGGUGAAAUCCCCGGGCUCAACCUGGGAACUGCCUUUGUGACUGCAUAGCUAGAGUACGGUAGAGGGGGAUGGAAUUCCGCGUGUAGCAGUGAAAUGCGUAGAUAUCGAGAGGAACACCAGAGGUGAAGACGGGUUGCUGGGCCGACACUGACGCUGACAGCUCGAAAGCCAGGGGAGCAAACGGG
rnacentral:rRNA from 1 species